AUUGAACGCUGGCGGCAUGCCUUACACAUGCAAGUCGAACGGCAGCACGGGGGCAACCCUGGUGGCGAGUGGCGAACGGGUGAGUAAUACAUCGGAACGUGUCCAGUUGUGGGGGAUAACCAGUCGAAAGAUUGGCUAAUACCGCAUGCGCCCGAAAGGGGAAAGCGGGGGACCUGUGAGGGCCUCGCGCGAUUGGAGCGGCCGAUGUCCGAUUAGCUAGUUGGUGAGGUAACGGCUCACCAAGGCGACGAUCGGUAGCUGGUCUGAGAGGACGACCAGCCACACUGGGACUGAGACACGGCCCAGACUCCUACGGAGGCAGCAGUGGGGAAUUUGGACAAUGGGGGCAACCCUGAUCCAGCCAUGCCGCGUGUGUGAUGAAGG
rnacentral:rRNA from 1 species